CAGACAGAGAAUGAGAAGCGAGAAUUGCGUGGGCGAUUGAUCGAGAACAUCUGCAAUCGGUUGGACGUAGAAGAUCUGGAGUCCUACUCCCGGAAGUCGCUGCCAUCAUCAGAGCUUUCAGUGUUGAAGAUGUGAUGUGAUGCACAGAAAUGGACUUGACUUUGGGAUUGGGAGCUGCCUAGUUUCUGUCGUCUUGUGAACAAGCAUCAUGCCCAAAAAUUCCACGAAAUUAGGUAUUAUUAUUUUAUUACCGGAAGUGGCAAAAACUAUAAAACAAUAACUGAGAGCGGAUAUAGUAUUCUCAGUUAAUUUUGAUACUCCAUCAUCCACUAUACGAUUAUAUAAAUACUUAUAAAACUUUUUGUGCUUUACUAUUUGAAAGAGAA